rnacentral:tRNA from 1 species
UAAGCUUUAAGUUAUAUGAAACUAAGAGCCUUCCAAGCUCCCUAAAAGAAGCACCUUAAGCUUAA